GCCGUCGACGAGGCCACGGAGGACGACCGACGACGAGGAGGAGCUCGCCUUGGCCAGCUGCCGGCCUCUCCCCUUCUUCCUCCUCUCGCCGCCGGCUUGUCAGUCUUCAGAAUAACUUUUGCAUUGAAGCGACGACAUCUGAUGACGACGUCCCCUCUCCUAGAUCAAGCUCGGUGGCAGCACGGCGACGGGGCUCCUUAAGCAGAUGCGGUGCAGAUCCAGCCUGCCGCUGCCCCCUCCUCGUCGCUGGAUGGGGAUGAUAAUAAGCUCGAUGGCUGCGCGUGGGGAGGGGGGAGGAGGUGGGCAGCAGUGACUAGCUCCGAUGACGGCGAGGCCCUCUCCUCCCACGCGACCCUCUCCGCAGCCGUCCCUCCACUAUCGACGGACGAGAUCGGCACACGCGAGCAUGAAUCCCCAGGGUUUACCGCCAUGUGCGUGGUGACAAUGGCGCAUGGGACUGCUUGGCGACUGAACCAGCUGCCGCAGUGACGGACAGCGUCGUUGUCAGGCGUCCUGUUGCCGCGAGCUGAUGAAUAUCUCCUCCAAGCUUCAGCGGCGUCGGGCUGCUCUUCUGUAAUGAACUGCUAAUAGAGGAGGGUGCGGUUGUGUAUAUGUUUGUGAAGGGAGAUCGACUGAUCGACAUAGGGAGAAUCAAGAGCAUGACAAGCCGUCAGGUGACAUCCGGCAAGCAUAGGAACGAUCUACUGAAGAAGGCCUACGAGCUCGCCUUACUCUGCGAUGCUGAGAUCGGACUGAUCAUCUUCUCCAGUCGAGGACGCCUGUAUGAGUUCUCCAAUAUAAUUAUGUAAACUGGUAUGUACAUGCAUCAUGCAUGCAUCCACCACUUCAUUUAAUUUGCUAACAGCUUGGAAAUUAAUAAAUGGCACCAUAUUUGACUCAAUUGAUUAA